GAUGAACGCUGGCGGCGUGCCUAACACAUGCAAGUCGAGCGGAUAGAGGAGGCGUGCUCCUGUAUGAAGCUAGGGGCGGGCGGGUGAGUAAUAGGUGUAUAACUUAUCUUUAAGAAUGGGGUACGUUAGGGGGACCGGAGAUCACAUACGACAUGAUAUUGAAAGGGGGGGUUCAUCAGAGAUAGAGGGAUCUGAUGAGCCUAGGUCGUAUUAGCUAGUUGGUGGGGUAAGGGCGUACCAAGGCGACGAUCCGUAACUGGUCUGAGAGGAUGAUCAGUCACACUGGAACUGAGACACGGUCCAGACUCCUACGGGAGGCAGCAGUGGGGAAUCUUGGACAAUGGGCGAAAGCCUGAUCCAGCAACGCCGCGUGUGUGAAGAAGGUCUUCGGAUUGUAAAGCACUUUAAGUUGGGAGGAAGGGCAGUAAGUUAAUACCUUGCUGUUUUGACGUUACCAAAAGAAUAAGCCCCGGCUAACUUCGUG
rnacentral:rRNA from 1 species